rnacentral:tRNA from 1 species
GUCUUUUGCUCAGUGGUAGAGUGCAUUCUCAUCAUGCAUGAGGCCCUGGGUUCAACCCCUAUCACCAAAAAACA